UCAGAGAGUUCUUUUGCACAUGAUUCUCAUCAAGAUCAAGCCCAGGAGAGAAUCUCUUCCUUCAGUCGAUGCAAGCCAGGCGUCGCAUUCUCAAGCUGGUGAGCUGCUUCACAUGCUCCACGUUGCGGCUCCCAGCAUUUCCCAUUGUUGUAUUGUGUGUUUGGGGAUAUGAUAUCACACCCUACACAUAGAGCGUGCGGAGAGGCUUGUUAUGUCAAGGGGCAAAGUGAUCAUUCUACCUUCCCAGGUACACUUGCUAAUUAGUGAGCCUGGUGAUCAGAGCACAUGUCGGUUAAUGGUGGUCGCUUAGAGACUGAACAAGGUAUUACUGGCACUCAUUCAUACAGUCCCAUGCAGCAAGGUCAGUCUACUUUGUACGAAUUUGAUUGGAAUUUAUUGGGUAAGGGCAUAGGACAAUAGUGCACGCUUUGCAUUGGUAAAACUUGAACUCAUGAACCAGCUCAGAAUUGGUCAUUUGCUAUUGGACGCCUCACCAAACCAAAGUGUAGUACCACUGUGGGAUUGGACAGUGUAGAUGCUGGUACCGAUGGACAACUGUA